rnacentral:rRNA from 1 species
AACGAACGCUGGCGGCAGGCUUAACACAUGCAAGUCGAACGGACGUAGCAAUACGUUAGUGGCAGACGGGUGAGUAACGCGUGGGAAUGUGCCCUUUAGUUCGGAAUAACACAGAGAAAUUUGUGCUAAUACCGGAUAAGCCCGAGAGGGGAAAGAUUUAUCGCUGAAGGAGCAGCCUGCGUCUGAUUAGCUAGUUGGUGAGGUAAUGGCUCACCAAGGCGACGAUCAGUAGCUGGUCUGAGAGGAUGAUCAGCCACACUGGGACUGAGACACGGCCCAGACUCCUACGGGAGGCAGCAGUGGGGAAUAUUGGACAAUGGGGGCAACCCUGAUCCAGCCAUGCCGCGUGAGUGAUGAAGGCCUUAGGGUUGUAAAACUCUUUUGUCCGGGAAGAUAAUGACUGUACCGGAAGAAUAAGCCCCGGCUAACUUCGUGCCAGCCGCCGCGGUAA